GACGAACGCUGGCGGCGUGCUUAACACAUGCAAGUCGAGCGGUAAGGCCUUUCGGGGUACACGAGCGGCGAACGGGUGAGUAACACGUGGGUGAUCUGCCCUGCACUUCGGGAUAAGCCUGGGAAACUGGGUCUAAUACCGGAUAUGACCUCCUAUCGCAUGGUGGGUGGUGGAAAGAUUUAUCGGUGCAGGAUGGGCCCGCGGCCUAUCAGCUUGUUGGUGGGGUAAUGGCCUACCAAGGCGACGACGGGUAGCCGACCUGAGAGGGUGACCGGCCACACUGGGACUGAGACACGGCCCAGACUCCUACGGGAGGCAGCAGUGGGGAAUAUUGCACAAUGGGCGAAAGCCUGAUGCAGCGACGCCGCGUGAGGGAUGACGGCCUUCAGGUUGUAAACCUCUUUCAGCAGGGACGAAGCGCAAGUGACGGUACCUGCAGAAGAAGCACCGGCUAACUACGUG
rnacentral:rRNA from 1 species